UAGGGAAUCUUCCACAAUGGACGAAAGUCUGAUGGAGCAACGCCGCGUGAGUGAUGAAGGGUUUCGGCUCGUAAAACUCUGUUGUUGGAGAAGAACGGGUGUCAGAGUAACUGUUGACAUCGUGACGGUAUCCAACCAGAAAGCCACGGCUAACUACGUGCCAGCAGCCGCGGUAAUACGUAGGUGGCAAGCGUUGUCCGGAUUUAUUGGGCGUAAAGCGAGCGCAGGCGGUUUUUUAGGUCUGAUGUGAAAGCCUUCGGCUUAACCGGAGAAGUGCAUCGGAAACCGGGAGACUUGAGUGCAGAAGAGGACAGUGGAACUCCAUGUGUAGCGGUGAAAUGCGUAGAUAUAUGGAAGAACACCAGUGGCGAAGGCGGCUGUCUGGUCUGCAACUGACGCUGAGGCUCGAAAGCAUGGGUAGCGAACAGGAUUAGAUACCCUGGUAGUCCAUGCCGUAAACGAUGAGUGCUAAGUGUUGGAGGGUUUCCGCCCUUCAGUGCUGCAGCUAACGCAUUAAGCACUCCGCCUGGGGGGUACGACCGCAAGGUUGAAAC
rnacentral:rRNA from 1 species